GGCCGUUUCUCAAUAUGCGUUCUUGUCUGUACUUGUGUUCUCGCGUCCUCGUGAAACGUCAUCGACAGCGGCCCAAGUACUGUUCCAAUUCAAAGUACACAUCCAGGCAAGAACGCUCAAAGUACCCGGAUGUGUUCUUGCUCCGCCCAUUUUAUCAAGGAUGCAUCAAUGCAUCCUUCUGCGGACUUGAGGCAGCAAGAUAUCCCACAAUGCAAUGCGCCACCAGCAGCGGUAAAUAGCGAAGGCAGCUCUUCAGGUGAGCAGACUGCAGCUCCAGGUUUACUUCCAGCUUCCCAAAAACUCCUGGAGAUUCUCUUCAUCCCCGUGUCCUGCCAAUGUUCUCUUCACUGUCUCCUCAUCUUAGAAAAAACACCAUUAAAUUAUGGUAAUAUUU